CUCCGGUUGAUCCUGCCGGACCCGACUGCUAUCGGAUUGAGAUUUAGCCAUGCGAGUCGAACGUCCCCCUGUUGCGGGGGGCGUGGCGUACGGUUUUUUUUUCGUAGUCAACCUGCCCUGGAGACAUGUUUGAGCCCGGGAAACUGGGAUUAAUCCGUGAUAGGCCCGCUCAUCUGGAAGGAGAGAUGACUUAAAGGGAUGCGAGAGCUUCUUUCUUGUAUCCGCUCCAGGAUGGGACUGCGGCCGAUCAGGGCUGUUGGUGGGGUAAUGGCCCACCAAACCUGUAACCGGUACGGGCCUUGAGAGAGGGGGCCCGGGAGAUGGACACUGAGAUAAGGGUCCAGGUCCUACGGGGCGCAGCAGGCGCGAAACCUUCGCAAUGCGCGAAAGCGUGACGAGGUUAAUCCGAGUGGUCCCCGCUGAGGGGAUCUUUUGCCGGCUGUAAAAAGGCCGGUGAAUAAGGGGAGGGCAAGUCUGGUGUCAGCCGCCGCGGUAAUACCAGCUCCUCGAGUGGUCGGAGCGAUUAUUGGGCCUAAAGCAUCCGUAGCAAAAUCUGUAGGUCCUCUGUUAAAUCCAACGGCUUAACCGUUGGCCCGCAGAGGAUACCGCAGGACUAGGAGGCGGGAGAGGUGGACGGUACUCCACGUGUAGGGGUAAAAUCCUUUGAUCCGUGGAAGACCACCAGUGGCGAAGGCGGUCCACCAGAACGCGCUCGACGGUGAGGGAUGAAAGCUGGGGGAGCGAACCGGAUUAGAUACCCGGGUAGUCCCAGCCGUAAACGAUGCAAACUCGGUGAUGCAUUGGCUUAUGGCCAAUGCAGUGCCGCAGGGAAGCCGUUAAGUCUCCGAAUGGGACGUACGGNCGCAAGUCUGAAACUGGAGCUCUAUAAAAAGAGG
rnacentral:rRNA from 1 species